UACAUGAAGCUGGAAUCGCUAGUAAUCGCAGAUCAGAAUGCUGCGGUGAAUACGUUCCCGGGUCUUGUACACACCGCCCGUCACACCAUGGGAGUUGGAAAUGCCCGAAGCCAGUGACCCAACCGUAAGGAGGGAGCUGUCGAAGGUGGAGCCGAUGACUGGGGUGAAGUCGUAACAAGGUACC
rnacentral:rRNA from 1 species